AUUAAACGCUGGCGGCAUGCCUUACACAUGCAAGUCGAACGGCAGCACGGGGGCAACCCUGGUGGCGAGUGGCGGACGGGUGAGUAAAGCAUCGGAACGUAUCCUGGAGUGGGGGAUAACGUAGCGAAAGUUACGCUAAUACCGCAUAUUCUGUGAGCAGGAAAGCAGGGGAUCGCAAGACCUUGCGCUCUGGGAGCGGCCGAUGUCGGAUUAGCUAGUUGGUGGGGUAAAGGCCUACCAAGGCGACGAUCCGUAGCGGGUCUGAGAGGAUGAUCCGCCACACUGGGACUGAGACACGGCCCAGACUCCUACGGGAGGCAGCAGUGGGGAAUUUUGGACAAUGGGCGCAAGCCUGAUCCAGCCAUGCCGCGUGAGUGAAGAAGGCCUCGGGUUGGUAAA
rnacentral:rRNA from 1 species